ensembl:misc_RNA Y_RNA Y RNA
GGCUGGGAUUACGGGCGUGAGCCACCGCGCCUGGUCUACUCUUUUUCCCUGCUUCUCACUACUACACUUAACUAGUCUUAA